AUUGAACGCUGGCGGCAGGCUUAACACAUGCAAGUCGAGCGGAGCGAAAGUGCUUGCACCUUAGCUUAGCGGCGGACGGGUGAGUAAUGCUUAGGAAUCUGCCUAUUAGUGGGGGACAACGUUUCGAAAGGAACGCUAAUACCGCAUACGUCCUACGGGAGAAAGCAGGGGAUCUUCGGACCUUGUGCUAAUAGAUGAGCCUAAGUCGGAUUAGCUAGUUGGUGGGGUAAAGGCCUACCAAGGCGACGAUCUGUAGCGGGUCUGAGAGGAUGAUCCGCCACACUGGGACUGAGACACGGCCCAGACUCCUACGGGAGGCGGCAGUGGGGAAUAUUGGACAAUGGGCGAAAGCCUGAUCCAGCCAUGCCGCGUGUGUGAAGAAGGCCUUUUGGUUGUAAAGCACUUUAAGCGAGGAGGAGGAGCUUCAGGUUAAUACCCUGGAUGCUUGGACGUUACUCGCAGAAUAAGCACCGGCUAACUCUGUGCCAGCCGCCGCAGUAA
rnacentral:rRNA from 1 species